rnacentral:rRNA from 1 species
AACGAACGCUGGCGGCAUGCCUAACACAUGCAAGUCGAACGAGACCUUCGGGUCUAGUGGCGCACGGGUGCGUAACGCGUGGGAACCUGCCCUUAGGUUCGGAAUAACUCCCCGAAAGGGGUGCUAAUACCGGAUAAUGUCUUCGGACCAAAGAUUUAUCGCCCUUGGAUGGGCCCGCGUUGGAUUAGCUAGUUGGUAGGGUAAAAGCCUACCACGGCGACGAUCCAUAGCUGGUCUGAGAGGAAGAUCAGCCACACUGGGACUGAGACACGGCCCAGACUCCUACGGGAGGCAGCAGUGGGGAAUAUUGGACAAUGGGCGAAAGCCUGAUCCAGCAAUGCCGCGUGAGUGAUGAAGGCCUUAGGGUUGUAAAGCUCUUUUACCCGGGAUGAUAAUGACAGUACCGGGAGAAUAAGCUCCGGCUAACUCCGUG